rnacentral:rRNA from 1 species
GCGCGAAAACUUUACAAUGCUGGCAACAGCGAUAAGGGAACCUCGAGUGCCAGGUUACAAAUCUGGCUGUCGAGAUGCCUAAAAAGCAUUUCAUAGCAAGGGCCGGGCAAGACCGGUGCCAGCCGCCGCGGUAACACCGGCGGCUCGAGUGGUAACCGUUAUUAUUGGGUCUAAAGGGUCUGUAGCCGGCCGGAUAAGUCUCUUGAGAAAUCUGGCAGCUUAACUGUCAGGCUUUCAGGAGAUACUGUCUGGCUCGAGGCCGGGAGAGGUGAGAGGUACUUCAGGGGUAGGGGUGAAAUCUUGUAAUCCUUGAAGGACCACCAGUGGCGAAGGCGUCUCACCAGAACGGACCUGACGGCAAGGGACGAAAGCUAGGGGCACGAACCGGAUUAGAUACCCGGGUAGUCCUAGCCGUAAACGAUACUCGCUAGGUGUCGGCCACGGUGCGACCGUUGUCGGUGCCGUAGGGAAGCCGUGAAGCGAGC